AGAGUUUGAUCCUGGCUCAGGACGAACGCUGGCGGCGUGCUUAACACAUGCAAGUUGAACGGUAUGACAUGGAAGCUUGCUGAAGUGUCAUAUAGUAGCGGACGGGUGAGUAAUGCAUGAGAAGCUGCCAUUGGGAGGGGGACAACAGUUGGAAACGGCUGCUAAUACCCCAUAUGCCGGAAGGUGAAAGGGAGCGAUCCGCCCGAUGAGGUGCUCAUGUCCUAUCAGCUUGUUGGUGAGGUAACGGCUCACCAAGGCGACGACGGGUAGCCGGCCUGAGAGGGUGACCGGCCACACUGGAACUGAGAUACGGUCCAGACUCCUACGGGAGGCAGCAGUGGGGAAUAUUGGGCAAUGGGGGGAACCCUGACCCAGCGACGCCGCGUGAGGGAAGACGGCCUUCGGGUUGUAAACCUCUUUUGUACGGGAAGAAGGACGUGACGGUACCGUGCGAAUAAGUCCCGGCUAACUACGUGCCAGCAGCCGCGGUAAUACGUAGGGGACGAGCGUUGUCCGGAAUUACUGGGCGUAAAGGGCGCGCAGGCUGUAGAUCAAGUCAGCUGUGAAAUGUCUGGGCUUAACCCGGGCAUGCGGUUGAAACUGAUGUACUGGAGUGCUGUAGAGGCAAGUGGAAUUCCCAGUGUAGCGGUGAAAUGCGUAGAUAUUGGGAAGAACACCGGUGGCGAAGGCGACUUGCUGGGCAGCAACUGACGCUGAGGCGCGAAAGCCAGGGGAGCAAACGGGAUUAGAUACCCCGGUAGUCCUGGCCGUAAACGAUGAAUGCUAGGUGUGUGUGUAGAGAUACAUGCGUGCCGGAGUUAACGCGAUAAGCAUUCCGCCCUGGGGAGUACGGUCGCAAGAUUGAAACUCAAAGGAAUUGACGG
rnacentral:rRNA from 1 species